UACGUAGGGGGCAAGCGUUGUCCGGAAUCAUUGGGCGUAAAGAGCGUGUAGGCGGCCAGAUAAGUCCGCUGUGAAAUCUCGAGGCUCAACUUCGAGCUGUCGGUGGAAACUGUCUGGCUAGAGUCCGGAAGAGGAGAAUGGAAUUCCUGGUGUAGCGGUGAAAUGCGCAGAUAUCAGGAAGAACACCCGUGGCGAAGGCGGUUCUCUGGGACGGUACUGACGCUGAGGAGCGAAAGCAUGGGGAGCGAACAGG
rnacentral:rRNA from 1 species